rnacentral:rRNA from 1 species
UACGUAGGGUGCGAGCGUUAAUCGGAAUUACUGGGCGUAAAGUGUGCGCAGGCGGUUCUGCAAGUCGAGUGUGAAAUCCCCGAGCUUAACUUGGGAAUUGCGCUCGAAACUACGGAGCUGGAGUGUGGCAGAGGAAGGUGGAAUUCCACGUGUAGCGGUGAAAUGCGUAGAGAUGUGGAGGAACACCGAUGGCGAAGGCAGCCUUCUGGGCCAACACUGACGCUCAUGCACGAAAGCGUGGGGAGCAAACAGG